rnacentral:rRNA from 1 species
CCUACGGGUGGCUGCAGUCGAGAAUAUUCCGCAAUGGACGAAAGUCUGACGGAGCGACGUCGCGUGACUGAUGAAGUCCUUAGGGACGUAAAGGUCUUUUACAGGGGAAGAAAUCUACUUAUGUAGAAUUGACGGUACCCUGGGAAUAAGGGGUUGCUAAACUCGUGCCAGCAGCAGCGGUAAUACGAGUGCCCCAAGCGUUAUCCGGAAUCAUUGGGCGUAAAGGGUGUGUAGGCGGUUAUGUUAGUCUCUUGUUAAAACCAUGGGCUCAACCCAAGGAGUGCGAGGGAAACGGCAUAACUAGAGAGUGCGAGAGGCAUAUGGAACUCAUGGUGUAGGGGUGAAAUCCGUUGAUAUCAUGGGGAACACCAAAGGCGAAGGCAAUAUGCUGGCGCAUUUCUGACGCUGAGACACGAAAGCGUGGGUAGCGAAUGGGAUUAGAUACCCUUGUAGUC